UACGAAGGGGGCGAGCGUUGUUCGGAAUUACUGGGCGUAAAGGGCGCGUAGGCGGCGAUCCGAGUCAGAUGUGAAAGUCCUGGGCUUAACCUGGGGACUGCAUUUGAUACUGGAUUGCUUGAAUUCGGGAGAGGAUAGCGGAAUUCCCAGUGUAGAGGUGAAAUUCGUAGAUAUUGGGAAGAACACCGGUGGCGAAGGCGGCUAUCUGGACCGACAUUGACGCUGAGGCGCGAAAGCCAGGGGAGCAAACGGG
rnacentral:rRNA from 1 species